AUUGAACGCUGGCGGCAUGCCUUACACAUGCAAGUCGAACGGUAACAGGUUAAGCUGACGAGUGGCGAACGGGUGAGUAAUGUAUCGGAACGUGCCCAGUCGUGGGGGAUAACUACUCGAAAGAGUGGCUAAUACCGCAUACGACCUGAGGGUGAAAGCGGGGGACCGUAAGGCCUCGCGCGAUUGGAGCGGCCGAUAUCAGAUUAGCUAGUUGGUGGGGUAAAAGCCCACCAAGGCGACGAUCUGUAGCUGGUCUGAGAGGACGACUAGCCACACUGGGACUGAGACACGGCCCAGACUCCUACGGGAGGCAGCAGUGGGGAAUUUUGGACAAUGGACGCAAGUCUGAUCCAGCCAUGCCGCGUGCGGGAAGAAGGCCUUCGGGUUGUAAACCGCUUUAAGCGAGGAGGAGGCUACCUGGAUUAAUACUCUAGGAUAGUGGACGUUACUCGCAGAAUAAGCACCGGCUAACUCUGUGCCAGCAGCCGCCGUAAUAC
rnacentral:rRNA from 1 species